rnacentral:rRNA from 1 species
AACGAACGCUGGCGGCAGGCUUAACACAUGCAAGUCGAGCGCCCCGCAAGGGGAGCGGCAGACGGGUGAGUAACGCGUGGGAACGUACCCUUUGCUACGGAAUAGCUCCGGGAAACUGGAAUUAAUACCGUAUGUGCCCUACGGGGGAAAGAUUUAUCGGCAAAGGAUCGGCCCGCGUUGGAUUAGCUAGUUGGUGGGGUAAUGGCCUACCAAGGCGACGAUCCAUAGCUGGUCUGAGAGGAUGAUCAGCCACAUUGGGACUGAGACACGGCCCAGACUCCUACGGGAGGCAGCAGUGGGGAAUAUUGGACAAUGGGCGCAAGCCUGAUCCAGCCAUGCCGCGUGAGUGAUGAAGGCCUUAGGGUUGUAAAGCUCUUUCAGUGGGGACGAUAAUGACGGUACCCACAGAAGAAGCCCCGGCUAACUUCGUGCCAGCAGCCGCCGCCGUAA